AUGUAGAGGACAGCUAGAGGAAGAGAAAUCUCUAGGGCAGUUUGAGACAAAGUCACUAGAGAAGUGGAAAGUAACCAAGUCACGUGAAUUGUCAACGAAGGAAAGAGAAUAGCGUGUUUCAAGAAGAAAAGGAUGGUCAAUUAAGUCAACAAUUGAAAGGUGCCCGAAGAUUGGGCAACAAGGAAGUCACUGAGGAUCUUGUUGAAAGUGUUUCAGUGAAGAGGUGGCUUCUGAAUCCUGCUCAACACACCCUGAGGGUUCACCACUACCAUUGGAUCUGAGUUGUAAUUUUAGCUAAAAUGCACCGUUUCCCAAUAUGAUGGCCAUGUAGAGCAUC